UAAAACUUUUGUACAAAAUGUGUCAGAGUGAACAUGUUCUUUUGCAAUUUCAUUUAUUUUGGUCAACAAUAUGUGACUUUUCUUCAUGAACAUCCUGCAUAUUCCUUGUUUCAUUUAUCCUUGGUUAUUUAGAACAUUUCUUCUAUUUUAAUGCUAACUUCAAUUGACUCAAAUUUUGUUGACGGCUUGUGAGAUCAACCAAAAGCUAAAUGAAAUCAGUCUUCUGUGUGUGUGUUUGUUUUUAAUGCUUUCUAGAUUAGUCUGACAUGCACACCCAAUCGGAAAACACUAGCGCAGAAGAGGGAGAGCCUAAUAUCAGCAUUACCUAGGUAUUAGAAGAAUUUGGAUAUUAUUAUAUACACCUGGCAUGAUAGCUAGGACAGAACCUGUUCUGCCGGGAGAAGGCGCCUGCUCAGGGUUUCUCUUUCCCUACAUGGGAACCCCUGAAGGAGAGUCCUGCCUGUGAUCUUCAUUUAGAAGGCUAGUGCUGACCACUGCUUGGUUCUCAUCAAUCCAUCCUUGAGAUAUCCCCAAUCUCAUCUUAAAUCUGAAUUGAACCUGUCAUAUUAUAGCCUGGCUCUUCUCUCACCAACUAUUUGGGGAACCCAGCCAACAUACUGUGAUGAAGCCUAAACAACUGUGGAGAGGCUCACGUGGAGAGGAGUCAAUGCCCACUGAUCUAUAAGCCUUGGCUGAGCUCUGAGCCAACAGUCAUGAUCAACUUCCAGCCGUAUAAGUGAACCAUCUUGAAAGAGGCUUCACCAGCACCAAGUUGAGCAACUUGAUUAUGUUACCAAAGAUCACCUCCUUCCUAUCAUCUUCCGUCUGAGACUUGCUUAGAGUGAGUUUGGAAGCUGUGUUUUGCUCAUCCUGAAGACUGAACAUAAGAAAAUAUUGCUCAAGUUCUGGAUGAUGCAGCUGCUGAAAUAAUCUGUGGUGCACUUUCCUUCAGGAAUCCUUACCUAUUUUUUCAGGUGUUCCACAAGCCUUCUUAUCUUGGAAUUCAGUAAUACUUAUUGUGUGGUUGCUUACUGUUCCCUAGGCACCCUGAAGCAUUGAAGCUUUGAAGCUUUGUCUCAUGCUUUCAAGUAAUGUUCUCGUGUUUACCUGCUGAUAUUCCUUCAAAGUUAGAGGCUGCCUCUCUCCAAGUGUGGAAAAAAACAAUCAGAUGUCACUAAGAUAUUGUGUAACAAUUCAUAUUAAACACAUGAUCUUGUCAGUCAAGAAGAAGAGAUUAAAACAAACACCUUGAGAGUUCAUGAGUAGAAGUAUACAGCCCUGCAUUCAUGAUAAUAUGGUGCAUUUUACCUACCUUGCAGCAGAAAGAGAUAUCUAAUUCCAUACACAGCAAUGUAACUGUUUAAAGUGCUCCUAAAAUUCAGACAAAACAAAUUAUAAAUAGUAUCAAGAUCAAAGAAGCUGAAAGUCCCUAUGUUUGAUGUAGGCACAGCAAAGUUUGAUGUAUAUGCUCAUUUCUCAGCACUGCAAGUAUGGAGAAACCAUCAGAAAGCAUGCUGAAAAUAGAGAGGGCUUCUAAAACAGAAAGCUCCUGCCUGUUUUACUGAAGGCUACCAGAUUCUUUCUCAGAAAUUUUGUACAGUUCAGAGGCACAAAUGCUCUUUUAGGUCCUUUGAAGCACUGGGUUUAAUAUCGGAAUUUAAUCUUGGCUCUAGUCUCCAAUUCCUUACAUAGUCAUUCAAGCAAUCUUGGGGACCAAGUCUUCCAAUAGCAUAGUGAUAUUCAUGCCUGAAGUGGGAGGAAUAGAUAUCCUCCUCAUUAACAAGGGAUGAGAGAUCAUGUUUCAUAGGCAAAAUACUCAUGCAUGCAAAAAUGUAACUUUUCCAGUAAUUUUUUUAGUACUGAAAUUAGCUUAGCUCAUUAGCUCUCUCUUCUACCUAGUAGCAGGGAAUGCAGUUUUGCUAACCCAGGUGACUCAUUAUUUCUGUUUUCAAGUUUAGUUUAUUUUAGGUAAAUUUUUGAAUUCAUAAUGUUUU
rnacentral:lncRNA from 1 species